CCUACGGGGGGCAGCAGUGAGGAAUAUUGGUCAAUGGUCGGGAGACUGAACCAGCCAAGCCGCGUGAGGGAUGAAGGUACAGAGUAUCGUAAACCUCUUUUGUCAGGGAACAAAGGCGGGGACGUGUCCCCGGAUGAGUGUACCUGAAGAAAAAGCAUCGGCUAACUCCGUGCCAGCAGCCGCGGUAAUACGUAGGUGGCAAGCGUUAUCCGGAUUUAUUGGGUGUAAAGGGCGGGUAGGCGGGAGCGCAAGUCAGAUGUGAAAACGCAGGGCUCAACCCUGGGCCUGCAUUUGAAACUGGGUGUCUUGAGUGCUGGAGAGGCAUGCGGAAUGCGGUGUGUAGCGGUGAAAUGCGUAGAUAUACGGAGGAACGCCAGUGGCGAAGGCAGAUUACUGGAGAGUAACUGACGCUGAGGCGCGAAAGCGUGGGGAGCGAACAGGAUUAGAUACCCGGGUAGUC
rnacentral:rRNA from 1 species